CGGCUGCGCCCGGGGCCCCGCGGGGCGAGCGCCGGGGACGCGGCAUCAGCGCGGGAGUCCCGAGCCUGGACGUGCAGGGAGGUGGCGGGGGGCAUCUACCAGGCAGAGCUGUCCCUGUACG
rnacentral:lncRNA from 1 species